rnacentral:tRNA from 1 species
GCCGGCAUAGCUCAACUGGCAGAGCGCUCGCCUUGUAAGCGAGAUGUUGCGGGUUCGAUUCCUGCUGCCGGCUCCA